rnacentral:snRNA from 1 species
AUACUUACCUGACAGUGGAGAUGCCUUACAAGGUGGUUUUCCUGGGUGAGGCUCACCAUUGCUUUCCAAAUGUGCUGAUCCCUGAGAUUUCUCCAAAUGUAGAAAACUCAGCUACAUAAUCUGUGAUAGUGGAUACUGCAUUCAUACUCUCCCCUG